rnacentral:rRNA from 1 species
CCUACGGGAGGCAGCAGUGGGGAAUAUUGCACAAUGGGGGAAACCCUGAUGCAGCGACGCCGCGUGAGUGAAGAAGUAUUUCGGUAUGUAAAGCUCUAUCAGCAGGAACGAGACAAGACGGUACCUGACUCAGAAGCCCCGGCUAACUACGUGCCAGCAGCCGCGGUAAUACGUAGGGGGCAAGCGUUAUCCGGAAUCACUGGGUGUAAAGGAAUCGUAGACGGCUGUGCAAGCCUGAAGUGAAAGGCGGGGUCCCAACCCCUGGACUGCUUUGGGAACUGUACGGCUGGAGUGCAGGAGAGGUAAGUGGAAUUCCUAGUGUAGCGGUGAAAUGCGUAGAUAUUAGGAGGAACACCAGUGGCGAAGGCGGCUUACUGGACUGUAACUGACGUUGAGGCUCGAAAGCGUGGGGAGCAAACAGGAUUAGAUACCCUUGUAGUC